ACCUGGUUGAUCCUGCCAGUAGUCAUACGCUUGUCUCAAAGAUUAAGCCAUGCAUGUCUAAGUAUAAACAAUUUUGUACUGUGAAACUGCGAAUGGCUCAUUAUAUCAGUUAUAGUCUAC
rnacentral:rRNA from 1 species